rnacentral:rRNA from 1 species
CACGUAUGGGGCGAGCGUUGUUCGGAAUUAUUGGGCGUAAAGGGCGCGUAGGCGGUCUGGCAAGCUUGGUGUGUAAGCCCACAGCUCAACUGUGGAGACGCGCUGAGAACUGCUUGACUUGAGUCCUGGAGGGGAAGCUGGAAUUCCUGGUGUAGGGGUGAAAUCUGUAGAUAUCAGGAAGAACAUCAGUGGCGAAGGCGAGCUUCUGGCCAAGGACUGACGCUGAGGCGCGAAAGCGUGGGGAG